rnacentral:rRNA from 1 species
GACGAACGCUGGCGGCGUGCCUAAUACAUGCAAGUUGAGCGCUGAAGGUUGGUACUUGUACCAACUGGAUGAGCAGCGAACGGGUGAGUAACGCGUGGGGAAUCUGCCUUUGAGCGGGGGACAACAUUUGGAAACGAAUGCUAAUACCGCAUAAAAACUUUAAACACAAGUUUUAAGUUUGAAAGAUGCAAUUGCAUCACUCAAAGAUGAUCCCGCGUUGUAUUAGCUAGUUGGUGAGGUAAAGGCUCACCAAGGCGAUGAUACAUAGCCGACCUGAGAGGGUGAUCGGCCACAUUGGGACUGAGACACGGCCCAAACUCCUACGGGAGGCAGCAGUAGGGAAUCUUCGGCAAUGGACGAAAGGCUGACCGAGCAACGCCGCGUGAGUGAAGAAGGGUUUCGGAUCGGAAAACUCUGUUGGUAGAGAAGAACGUUGGUGAGAGUGGAAAGCUCAUCAAGUGACGGUAACUACCCAGAAAGGGACGGCUAACUACGUG